GGCACAUGGGGCUGCAUGUGGUCUCAGUGCUGUUUAUUACCAUGAUAUCAUCAGUGGUAACUACAACAAGUCUACAACCCCGAGAAGUGGCAGCUCCGGGCAGUGACUUCACCCUUAACUGCUCUUUCCCUUCGUCUAAAAAUCUGAACCUCAACCAACUGGUCAUCAACUGGCAGCGUGGAGAAGAGGUGGUCCACAGCUAUUACCAUGGAAGAGAUCAGCUGGAAAGACAGAGUGUUGUUUACAAGGGACGCACUCAUCUGUUUGAAGACCAGCUCACUGUGGGAAAUGCCUCACUUAGACUGAGUGGUGUGCAGCCGAGUGACCAGGGCCAAUACACCUGUGACGUGACAGAUGAACAGGGAGGCACCCUGGAAAAGCUACAACUUCUAGUGGCAGCCCCUUAUGAUGAACCCAGGAUAUCCGCCCAAGCCACUUGUGAUGGCUUCAUUAUCACCCUCCAUGCCUCUCAGGGGUAUCCCCAGCCAGAGUUAGUGUGGAAAGGGGUGAUGGACAGUAACACCACUAUGGAAUUGGACAGCAGGGGGCACUAUGAGCUGAAGAGUGAGGUGACACUGUGGUUGAACAGCACUCUGACUGUUACAGCCGAGCUUAGACUGAGGGUUCUGGACCAGAGUUUCACCAAGUCUCUCACACUCCACCCACCACCAGUUUUUACCUAGUCCAUUGGGAUGUGAUGAAUGAUGAUACCAUACUUGCACAAUGGCCUUUGACCAUGGGCUUCAAACAGUAUGUGUCUCUCUGAAUAUAUUUUGUGCUGUGUGAUGCCUGCCGAGAAGAGGAGCAGAUUUUUUACGUAUCCCCUGCUGCUUAUGCUGCUGGGAGUAGUGCUCCUGUUGUCUUGGAAGAGGUCUGAGCAGGAGACCAAAAAGGAUGAGAAAACACAAGAAUAGAAUGACCUUCAGUCCAUGGUCACUCAACAGGCAUCAUGCCAGAGCAAUUAUCAUUGCUUGUUUACAGAGAAAACAUAAAGGGAGGACAGCCUUGUUUACUAAAGUCCAUUUUCAUGGGAAGUCAUUUGGUCAAAUCUGAAUUACACUAUAAAACUUUAUACACAAAGUUCAACAUGAGAGUUGACACACUGUAUUGUCAAACAAUACAGUUGACACAUUCACUAAAGAUAGACAAUGGGAGUUGCACACCACACCACUAGAUGGUCAUAUGUACCUCUACUCCUAAUCUACUUCCUCUUAAGGUUUCUUCCAUGUAGCGAGUUUUUGCUUACUGCUACUUGCUCAGGGAUUUAGCCCAGGUUACUGUGUAAAUCACCUUUUACAUCUGCAGAUGUCUUACUGGGCUUUAUAAAUUACAUGUAUAUAUUGAUUGAAAUUAUGGCAGCUAUAGCGUCUAAUGAAAGUUGUUACAUGUGUGUUCCAGUCAGUGUAUCAUAAUUUCCAGAAUUUGUUAUUUUGUAAUAAAAGGAGAUGAAACCCCAA